rnacentral:lncRNA from 1 species
CAAAAGAUAAACAGUUAAUGCUCAUAAUAGUAGUCUUGAGACUUGUACCUAACAUCAUAUAUAUAUAUAUAUAUGAUUUGCCUGCUCUAAUCUCUUUAUUGGUUAAAACUAGACAUGAACAUAUAUGCAGCUAAAGCUCAUCAAGUAAAUCUAAAAAAAAAAAUUAUGUUUGACAAUCUAUGUUGCCUCAAGUGGAAGUAUAAGUGGUAGAAUUUAUAUUUUUAAGUAGAUUUAACUAAAUAUCAUCUAUUAGUCCAAUAUCUAGAUAUAGGAAGAUGUGGUAUGAGUGCCAAUGAGACAACUCUCCAUCCAAGUCACAAUUUAUAAAAGUAAUAGAAACCAUUAUAGGUCAAGGUACAGCCUUCAACAUGGAGUCUUGGCUCACACCGAACAGCAAGUUAUAAAGGGCCCCAAAGAUAACUAGUGUAAUACCAUUCAAAUGGGAAAACCAACUGUCUAAUCUAUAUAAAAACUAGAAACUAGAAACUUGAAUGAACUACAUGUACCUAAACAGACGACAACUACUGUACAUCAGAUACUUGUUAAACCAGCAAUUCUAAAACAGUUUAGAUAAUAUUAUGUUUUGUUUUUUUAAAGAUGAAAAUUUAUAGUAUGUCUUUCUUUUAUAUUAUCAUUAUUUCAAUUUUUGG